CCAAGUUGGACCGCAGCUGGCGGUUUCCUGGCUUGCAGGGUUUCACUCCAGCCCAGGCUAGAGUGCGGUGGUAGGAUCUCAGCUCACUGCAGCCUCCACCUCCCAAGCUCAAGUGAUUCUCCUGCCUCAGCCUCUCAAGUAGCUAGGACUACAGGCGCACAUCAUUGCACUCAGCUAAUUUUUGUAUUUUUAGCAGAGAUAGGGUCUCACUGUGUUGGCCAGGCUAGUCUUGAACUCCUGAGCUCAAGUGAUCCACCCACGUCAGCCUCCCAAAGCGCUGGGAUUACAGGCAUGAGCCACCGCAUCAGCCCUUUGUCCAUUUUUAAUUGGAUUAUUUGCCUUUUUAUUGUUGAGCUGUCAGAGUUCUUUAUACAUUCUAAAUAAAAGUCCCUUAUCAGAUGAUUUACAGAUACAGAUAUUACCUUAUUAGAUGAUUUACAGAUAUUUACUUCCCAUGAUUUACAGAUAUUUACUUCCAUUUCUCAGGUCGUCUUUUCACUUUCUUGAUAACAUCCUCUGUUCCACAAAAGUUUUUAAUUUUGAUGAAGUCCAGUUAUCUGUUUUGUCUUUUGUCACUUGUGCUAUUGUCAUAUCUAAAAAAAAAGCACUCAUUUUUACAGCUGCAUGAUAUUCCUUUACGAAUAUAACCUAUUUAACCAAGACCCCCUAGAUAGACAUUUAGAUGAGUUCAGUUUUUUCACUAUUGCAAACAAUGCUGCAGUAAAUUUUCUUGAACACAUCAUUUUGCACACAGCAAGUGUAUAUGCAGAAAGAAUACCAGAAGUGGGAGUGUCAAGUUAAAGAGUAUUGUUCUUACAAUUUUAGUAGCUAAUGUCAAAUUUCUAUCCUUAGAGAUUAUACUGAUUUAGACACCCACCAGUGGUAUGAGAGAAUGACUCACACGGUGCUUUUUAAAAGCUUGGAAUUAUUUGCCCGUCAAAAAUGGGGAGAUUUGCCAUAAGAAUCCUGAUUUUUGCUUUCUUUUGGGAAAUCAGAUCAGCAUUUCUACGUAGCCAUCGAACUGUGACCCCGCCAUUGAAAGAACAUGUGCUCUCUAAUUCACCACAGUCCCUGCCACUCCCUGACAGCCUCCCCAGCACAGGCCAAGGGUCAGAUGCUACUUAUCAUUGUGCUUUCACAACUGUUUUCUACAUCUUAUUAAAAGCAGGAAAACAAAAGAGGCUGAGAUGACAUGUGUUUCAGGAAAAGAAAGACCAAGUACAUCUUUUUGUGGGAACAAAGACAAUCUCAUGUGUUAUAAACAGAUACUCCACUCACUUGGCUCACAUUUCCUGCAUGGCCACAGUGGGCAUUUGAGUUCAAGAUUUCUGGUUUAGGUUACCAAAAGCCUCUGAACUAAUCUAAAUGUCUACCUAGGAUUUUUGAGUAGACAAAUGCUCUUCAGAGCUGCCUUCCUGAAAGGUAUUUCUGGCAGACAUCAUGGAGGGUAUACAUGAAGGCAGAGCAUGCCUUGAUUAGAAGACAGACGUGGGAUUGGGUGCGGUGACUCACGCCUGUAAUCCCAGCACCCUAGGAGGCUGAGGCUGGGGUAUCACCUGAGGUCAAGAGUUUGAGACCAGCCUGGCCAAAUGAUGAAACCCUGUCUCUACUAAAAAUACAAAAAUUAGGCUGGGCGUGGUGUCUCAAUCCCAGCACUUUGGGAGUCCGCGGCAGGUGGAUCACCUGAGGUCAGGGGUUUGAGACCAGCCUGACCAACAUGGUGAAACCCUGUCUCUACUAAAAAUACAAAAUACAAAAAUUAGCUGGGCAUGUUGGCAGGCGCCUGUAAUCCCAGCUACUCGGGAGGCUGAGGCAGGAGAAUUGCUUGAACCCGGGAGGUGGAGGUUGCAGUGAGCCGAGAUGGUGCCACUGCACUCCAGCCUGGGUGACACAGUGAGACUCUGUCUCAAAAAAAAAAGUAAAAAAAGAGGUAUAUAAAGGGGUAAAUGCAGGACAUGUGAUGGUGUCCAUUUCUAGCAAUGGAGAUGUCACCAAAAUGAGGAACCAAGAAGCAGAACAGGUUGGGGGGUGCUGAUGUGCUUUGAGACUCUUUUAGUCAUCUGUGACAUGGUAAUUAUUAUCUCUAAUCCAAGCCCUGGAGACCUUCCUGAGCCCCAGAACCUUACCCUCAUUUCAGGGACAUCCAUCACGGCAGUGGGCAUCCCUUUUUGUCAGUCCCAGCAUGGGUUCCAGGGUAGGCUCCCAUUGGACAGGCUCAGCAUGGGGGAGGGGGGGUAUGCUGAUUGGCCAGACCCGAAUCACCUCUCCACCUCUGGAAGUGGCGCAGGGAGUCCGACUCAGCCAAACUCCUCAGACCACAUAUGUGAGGGCCAUUUCCCCACAGGAAACCUGAGUUUUCAGGAAGGUGGAUGGAUGUGGGUCAGCAGAAAUAAUAGAUGUGCCCGACUGUUCGCACCCCUCUGCCGCAAGAGUGGGUGUGGUUAAAAACUUUGAGGAGCGCAGGUGAAUUGUCCGAGCGGGGUGCCGCUCUGCUGAUGUUACUGCCUCCCUUCCAAUCCCAUGCUCUUAAGUUUUACGAAGGCACGCUUUGGUUUCAGAAACACUUGGGUUUGAAUCCAGCUCCGUCACAUGGAGGCCAGGGCAUCCUUUCUUGUCUGUACUGUGUGCUGGGGUCAGAGCCAUGAGCACAAGUCCCAGCUUUCUCUGAUGAGGGAAAUCUGUGACAGGCACCGAGAUGGGGGGCCGGCCCUGGGGAGCUAAGAAUGGGCCCUUUGCCCAGCACAGGAAGUCAGGAAGGGGCCCUGGAAGUGACAUGUAAGUCAGGACCUAAUAGACGAGCAUGCGGCAGCAGAGGGACAGUGGGGGCAAAGGACACAGAGCUGAUGCGGAUGAGAGUGUGGCACAUCUCAGGGCCACGAGAAGGCCAGAGGGAAGUGGCAGGAGGGAGGGGGUCACAGAGACAUGGAGACGAGAAAGUUAGGCAGGGGUGAGACCAUUCAGGGCCCCAAGGCCAUGCAGGUAGCCAAGACUGACAGCCCUGACCUCGAGUUCCUCAUCUGUGAAGUGGGGAUGUUCAGAUCCACCUGGUUGCAUUGUUUUGUGGACUCGAGGAAUUAUAUCUGCAGGGGCACCUGACACAAGGUCUGGCCCUUUACCCGCACUGCAGCAGCCGCCCUUGUUAACGCUGUCCCCGCUCCGCCCAGUCCCUGCGGUGUUCCAGCAGCAUCUUCAGUGUGUAAGCGUUUCUACCUUCAUCUUUCUCCGAGGGGGACUCGGGUGAUGCAUCAUUGUCCCUGGUUACAGGUGACAAAAUGGGCUCAACUGUGGGAGGGGCCUCUGUUUGUAGGACUCCCUGCACCAGGUUUUCCUUCUUUACACACACACAGCUCUCUGAUUAGUACCAGCAGCCACAAGUAAUCCGGUUCAGUCACCCAGUGCGUGGCUGGGGCAUCCAGGAGGAAGCCCAAGUGGCCAAACCACAACCCACACCCAUGUCUGUGGCAGCCUCUCCCACAGCCCACACUCUGAAGAGCAGGCAGUUGUCUUUCUGCAGGACCCCCACCCCUUCCCCUUCCCUGCCUUCCUUGGCAGGCCCUCCUGCUCCAGGGGCCAUCUACCUGCUAGGACAGUCCUGGGAAGGAUGGAUUGUCCCUGUUUCAUGAAGGGAGGCCAGUUUAACAGAUGAAUCUGCCAAGGACACUGUCUCUUCCCAACAGGGGUAUUGCAGGCACCAAUGGAACAGGUUGGGGAGGAGAGUUUGGGACCAAGAACACCCAUGAACCCUUAGAAGCCACCAUAGAGGUGAGGACUGAAUUGUAAUCCCAUCAGCUGGUGACCUUAGGCAAGUCUCGGCCCUCUCUGAGCCUCAGUCUCACUUCUGCAAAAUGGGAGUAGUGAUCUGUUCCCCGGUCAUGCAGGAAGGAAUCUCGCCAAGGCUGAAAGUGGGGUGUUGAUCUAAAUCAUAACUGGUUCCAGGCGCCUAUACACACACGUUGACACACAGACAACACUCUUAGGUACAGGUUUACAUUCACACACAAAGAUUUGCACAAACACGCACAGAGAUUUGCACAAGCACACACCCAGGGCACAGGUGCACACACCCAGGGCACAGGUACACACAAGCUACUGGGACAUACAUGCUAGGUACACACACGGGACUUGCACACAAAAAUCCAUACACAGGACGCACAGCCACACACACACUCCUCCCUCCCUCCAGUGCUGCUGCCUGUUCGCUCUGCCUCAGCACACACAGUGGCCAGGGCCACCUGCCUUCUUCUCCCUGUAUCAGGAAAAUCGCAGGGGAUGAUUGCAUCUAAAAGUGCCUUACAUGCAGGGGCUCAGGGUGAGCAGGGUUCACCCAGAGAGGUGAAGGCACCAAAGCAGUGGAAAGCAGUGGGGCUUGAUGGGCAGGGUGGGCUUUGUUGUGGUUGACCUGCCCAUAGGACGUGGAGGAUCCAGGCCUUCAGAAUUGACCCCUGCCUUGGCUCAGCUCAGUGUGGCAUUUGCAUGCGGCCCUCCCCUUGGGAAAGGGACUGCCCCUGAGGCCAGCCUAUGAGCUGAGUGUGGUUUUGGUGGAGGAAAGGGCAGGAAGCCGCAUCUGGGAAGUGGCUGCCCAUGGCUUCCAGAGGCCUGGCUGGGUGGCUGACCUCACGGCCAGAUGGCUCCAGACACCUCUCGGGGCCUCACCCCUGCUUCCACCAUUCAGCACAGCCAGGCUGACCACAGACCUGGGUGGGGGAACCUGGUCACAUCCUGUCACCACGCCUGGAGUUCCACCAUUGGUGCUGCAGUCCUCUGUGGUCCCAAGAGAGCCCAGCAGCUGAGCAAACACACUGAGGCUGACAUCGCCCAUCCCAGAACAUUCCCCAAGGCCUGUGUUUGCCUCCCAGAAAGAUCCCAAGUCUGUGAGGGACACACACAGCACAUGUCAUCGAGAUGUCAACCACACAGCCACAUGCCCCUUCUCCUGGCCCUCUGCUCUUCUCUGGAAUGGUGGUAUCUCCAGGCUCAGCCAGGGGCCGUCUCCUCUGAGGGUUGUUCUCCCUGAGCUCCAGAUCCAACACCCAGUUGUCCUACGACAUCUCCCCCGUGUGCACCCUGAGAAGCCACUCUGCACAGUAGCCAGAGCAGUCUUUCAAAAAACAACUCAAAUCGUGUUCCUGCAACAGCUGCCCCAUCUCAUGGAAUAAAAUCCAUCACCAAGGCUUGCAAGGCCCUGCCCAUGAAGAAUGAAAGGGAGAUGGGAGGUGGCCGUCGGUGAAGUACCCAAGUUCUCUGAGUCCAGGGUGUGGUGACAACUCUAGCUUGUCUGGUUUCCUGUGAGAUCAUCAUUUCACCCAUCGGUGGUGUGCUCCCUGCCCAGUUUCCUCUCUCAAUCUGCAGGAAAAGCCUGUAGGAAAUGACUGAGGGGCGGGUGUGGUCCAGGGUGAGUUGGGGUGUGGGCCAUGUUUGGCGGGGCACUAGGUAGGAAUCCUGCUCUGAACAUCUCAGGAGGAGGGAAUGGCCAUGGGGUGGGCGGAAUCACACAGCGAGUCUUGCAGAAGCAAUCGUGAAUCUCCAUCUUCCACCUGCCACCUGGGUUGCUAGCUAAAAUACAGGAUACCCAGUGUUUUAAGUUGGAAUUUCAGAUAAACAACAAAUAAUUCUUUAGUUAGGUAUGUCCCAAGUAGUGCAUGCAUCCUGUAUUUUUCUUUGCUAAGUCUGGCAAACCUACCUGGAUGACCACAUCUGCCUGCUCCUCGGCCUCUCAGCUUUCCCCCCACACCCACACAGAGGGACCCUGUAAAAACCCAACUCACUUAACCUCCAGCCACUCAGGCACUGGGUGAUCUGGGCCUGGCAAGUUCUCUGACCUCAUCUCCUACCCCCAGUGAUGUGCUGGUAAAGUAGCACGUCCCGUUUUCUGAGAAAAAAUAAAAUAUAAAAUAGUAAAGCC